GUCCAUCUCGUCGCCGCUCGUCUGGGUUCGGGGGUUGGCUUCCGUCCGGCUGCUUCGCUUCGAUCGCACGGCGUCGGGAGUUCGGGCCGUGGUUUGUGGUGGGGUGGUUAGGGUCGGGCUCCUUGUUGGCAAAGAUGAACUGGGUAUACCAGGAAAAACUAACUGGAAGUUAAAAGUCGAGAUUCAUGUACCAGUGCGUUCGGAAAUUCAGUUCAUAGGGGCGCAUUCCAAUCCAAUUACAUAAAACCACACACAUACGGUGAGUGAACGACAAAACAGACAUAUUCAAAUCGGUGCAUUUCAUUUCGGAUGCA